rnacentral:ncRNA from 2 species
CUUUUAUCAGGAGAAGGUGGAGGGACAGGCCCUGUGAAACCCAGCAACCAUCUGUAGUCAUGCAGAUAAGGUGCCAACCUGGCAAAACAUCAUCUGUUUUGCAAGAUAAGAG